CUUGUGCUCCGCGUUUGAAGUGGAGGUUGAGGACAUCUCCCGUUUGUGAAAGGGGUUGCUCAGGUGGCUACCUCCCCUGUCUCUGGUUUCUCUGCUGCGUGUGGUGGUCGCAUUGAGUCGUGGUGCAAAAGCGAGGACUAGGCGUCCGUGACCUAAACCCGAUUGACGGUUGCGUUGGGGCGGAGCGCUCGUUCUCUACUUUCUGUGCUUCAGCGACAUCAUCUGCGGUGGUAUGUAAUUAAUGAUGAUGAUUCCACCGGUAUGUCUUAAAUCAUGUUACUUCUAGUAGUAAUUUGCUUCCACAUUCAUAGGUGCCUGACUCCUUGGUCAGUUGGAAUCCUCAGUCUACCAGCUGAUAGCUGUGCCGCUGUUUUGUCUCUGUCCAAUCCGUACGUCUGCUGCUAACUUUCGCUGCCCACAGCUUUGGGCCAGUGCCCUCU